CCUUAGUACUCUGACACAACUGUCUGGUAAAAAGUGUAAUUUUUAUUUAAAUUCUGUUGUCUGCUGUGAGCUGUACAGAGCUCAGACUUCAGAGAUAAAGCUGUACCCAUAUUUUUACAGCAGAUGAGAUGUUCCGUUUUGAAUGCUUUAAAGAUAUGGGCUGUUACACUAUCUAAAUAUUAAGCGGCGCAAAAAUGGUAUUCAGAAAUUGGUGUGCAGACAGUGCUAACUUAUGGUCCAUAUAAAAUCUUGCUGGGGAGCUGCAUUCUUCCUGAAGUUUUACUGCAGUUCCGUUAGGAAUAAACGUGUCUCGCUUCUCAUUUGGACCUGUUGUAUUUGUUGCUGAGGUAGCA